rnacentral:rRNA from 1 species
GAGUUUGAUCCUGGCUCAGGAUGAACGCUGGCGGCGUGCCUAAUACAUGCAAGUCGAGCGAACGGACGAGAAGCUUGCUUUUCUGAUGUUAGCGGCGGACGGGUGAGUAACACGUGGAUAACCUACCUAUAAGACUGGGAUAACUUCGGGAAACCGGAGCUAAUACCGGAUAAUAUUUUGAACCGCAUGGUUCAAAAGUGAAAGACGGUCUUGCUGUCACUUAUAGAUGGAUCCGCGCUGCAUUAGCUAGUUGGUAAGGUAACGGCUUACCAAGGCAACGAUGCAUAGCCGACCUGAGAGGGUGAUCGGCCACACUGGAACUGAGACACGGUCCAGACUCCUACGGGAGGCAGCAGUAGGGAAUCUUCCGCAAUGGGCGAAAGCCUGACGGAGCAACGCCGCGUGAGUGAUGAAGGUCUUCGGAUCGUAAAACUCUGUUAUUAGGGAAGAACAUAUGUGUAAGUAACUGUGCACAUCUUGACGGUACCUAAUCAGAAAGCCACGGCUAACUACGUGCCAGCAGCCGCGGUAAUACGUAGGUGGCAAGCGUUAUCCGGAAUUAUUGGGCGUAAAGCGCGCGUAGGCGGUUUUUUAAGUCUGAUGUGAAAGCCCACGGCUCAACCGUGGAGGGUCAUUGGAAACUGGAAAACUUGAGUGCAGAAGAGGAAAAUGGAAUUCCAUGUGUAGCGGUGAAAUGCGCAGAGAUAUGGAGGAACACCAGUGGCGAAGGCGACUUUCUGGUCUGUAACUGACGCUGAUGUGCGAAAGCGUGGGGAUCAAACAGGAUUAGAUACCCUGGUAGUCCACGCCGUAAACGAUGAGUGCUAAGUGUUAGGGGGUUUCCGCCCCUUAGUGCUGCAGCUAACGCAUUAAGCACUCCGCCUGGGGAGUACGACCGCAAGGUUGAAACUCAAAGGAAUUGACGGGGACCCGCACAAGCGGUGGAGCAUGUGGUUUAAUUCGAAGCAACGCGAAGAACCUUACCAAAUCUUGACAUCCUUUGACAACUCUAGAGAUAGAGCCUUCCCCUUCGGGGGACAAAGUGACAGGUGGUGCAUGGUUGUCGUCAGCUCGUGUCGUGAGAUGUUGGGUUAAGUCCCGCAACGAGCGCAACCCUUAAGCUUAGUUGCCAUCAUUAAGUUGGGCACUCUAAGUUGACUGCCGGUGACAAACCGGAGGAAGGUGGGGAUGACGUCAAAUCAUCAUGCCCCUUAUGAUUUGGGCUACACACGUGCUACAAUGGACAAUACAAAGGGCAGCGAAACCGCGAGGUCAAGCAAAUCCCAUAAAGUUGUUCUCAGUUCGGAUUGUAGUCUGCAACUCGACUACAUGAAGCUGGAAUCGCUAGUAAUCGUAGAUCAGCAUGCUACGGUGAAUACGUUCCCGGGUCUUGUACACACCGCCCGUCACACCACGAGAGUUUGUAACACCCGAAGCCGGUGGAGUAACCUUUUAGGAGCUAGCCGUCGAAGGUGGGACAAAUGAUUGGGGUGAAGUCGUAACAAGGUAGCCGUAUCGGAAGGUGCGGCUGGAUCACC